UACAGAGGUCCCAAGCGUUGUUCGGAUUCACUGGGCGUAAAGGGUGCGUAGGUGGUGAGGUAAGUCGGAUGUGAAAGCUCCGAGCUCAACUCGGAAAUGGCAUUGGAAACUACCUUGCUCGAGGGUUUGAGGGGGGGACUGGAAUACUUGGUGUAGCAGUGAAAUGCGUAGAUAUCGGGAGGAACAUCAGUGGCGAAGGCGGCCUUCUGGACCAAUACUGACGCUCAUGCACGAAAGCGUGGGGAGCAAACAGG
rnacentral:rRNA from 1 species